rnacentral:misc_RNA from 1 species
GAUGAAGAAUGCAGCGAAAUGCAAUACUUGGUGUGAAUUGCAGAAUCCCGUGAACCAUCGAGUCUUUGAACGCAAGUUGCGCCCGAAGCCAUCAGGUUGAGGGCACGUCUGCCUGGGCGUCACAUAUCGUUGCCCAAUGCCUAUUGCAGUGCAAUAGGAAUUUCUAGGGCGAAUGAUGGCUUCCCGUGAGCGUUGUUGCCUCGCGGUUGGUUGAAAAUCGAGUCCUUGGUAGGGUGUGCCAUGGUAGAUGGUGGUCGAGUUAGAACGAUACCGAUCAUGUGCAUGCUCCCCAAAAUAUGGCCUCUAUGACCCACACGCGUCUUUUGACGCUCAUGACGAGACCUCAGGUCAGGCGGGGCUACCCGCUGAAUUUAAGCAUAUCAAUAAGCGGAGGA